CCUACGGGAGGCAGCAGUGGGGAAUUUUGGACAAUGGGCGCAAGCCUGAUCCAGCAAUGCCGCGUGAGUGAAGAAGGCCUUCGGGUUGUAAAGCUCUUUUGUCAGGGAAGAAACGGUCUACUCUAAUACAGUGGGCUAAUGACGGUACCUGAAGAAUAAGCACCGGCUAACUACGUGCCAGCAGCCGCGGUAAUACGUAGGGUGCAAGCGUUAAUCGGAAUUACUGGGCGUAAAGCGUGCGCAGGCGGUUAUAUAAGUCAGAUGUGAAAUCCCCGGGCUCAACCUGGGAACUGCAUUUGAGACUGUAUGGCUAGAGUGUGUCAGAGGGGGGGUAGAAUUCCACGUGUAGCAGUGAAAUGCGUAGAUAUGUGGAGGAAUACCGAUGGCGAAGGCAGCCCCCUGGGAUAACACUGACGCUCAUGCACGAAAGCGUGGGGAGCAAACAGGAUUAGAUACCCUGGUAGUCCACGCCCUAAACGAUGUCUACUAGUUGUCGGGACUUAAUUGUCUUGGUAACGCAGCUACGCGUGAGUAGACCGCCGUCGGAGGUACGGUCGCGAGAAGUAAACGUACGAAGAAGUUAGUACGGCGUGAGACGUAGACGACGACGACGACGAGGGAGGAGG
rnacentral:rRNA from 1 species